rnacentral:lncRNA from 1 species
UAGCUCCUCAUAAGAUAUUGUUAAAAACCUCCAACAAAUUUAUAGUUAAAAAAUCAUAACGCAUGCCGCCAUCAUGUGUCAAUAUCCACUUCUCUGGUUUCAACUCAGACAGCCAAGUCCAAGCCUCUACAUUCACUGUCUUGAUCCUACACAUGAUAAAGUUGAGUUUGCGAACUUGAUGAGUGCUCCCUGCUUGCCAUACUGUUCUUUUGAGCUGUGUAUUUUUAAGUGAGUGUUGAAAUUGCUAUAGAUAUAUCUUAAGC